AUGUACAGCAAAGGCAAGAGUAACAGCAGCAUUAACCCAUGUGACAGCCACACCUUGGUGAAGUUAGCACUUUACAUAUAUGAAUAUCUGCUCCAUGUAGGAGUUCAGAGAUCAUCCCGAACAUUUUUAUCAGAGAUAAGAUGGGGGAAAAAAUUGGGAGAACCACCAGGAUUCUUACAUUCCUGGUGUUGUGUAUUUUGGGAUCUCUAUUUGGCAGCUCCAGAGCCAAAGGAAACAUGUGAACACUCAAGUGUAACAAAAAACUUCCAUGAUUAUCUUUUUAUAUCACCUUGGUACCCUGGAGGUCCAAGGUUCCCAUUGAAGAUACCUAAAGAGGCACUUGGAAGUAUCCUAGGAAGUCAGCCAUUACUCCCCAGUGGAAUCCAACUUGACAACAAGGACAUUUAAGUAUGGGUGGGCCAAUUUCUCCAAGAGGAAUGGUGCCCUGAGGGCCACAGUCUGAUCCUUGGUUGUCAGUACAGAAUGAUGAAGGUGCAAUGAGAUGCCCAGUGAAUGCUUUAGGUGGCUCUGGAAUGCCUAGAAUGAACAUGGGUCUGGAGGGUGGCAGAUCUUGGCCAAACCCAACAAAUGCCAAUUCAGUACCAUACUCCUCAACAUCUCCUGGGAAUUACAUAGGCCCUCCAGGAGGUGAGGUCCACAGGAACACCCGUCAUGUCUAGUCUAGCAGAUUUAAUCAACCCUGGAGAUAUGAAUGAAUGCAGUAUGUUGUAGACCUAACAGACCUAAUUUUCCAGUGGAAUCUGGGUCAGAUGGUACCAUGGAUGGAGUAGGAGGAGGAAUGGAGUCACAUCACAUGAAUGGCUUUUAGGCUCAGGAGAUAUGGACGGUAUUUCUAAGAAUUCUCCUGAUAAAAUGAGCCUGAGUAAUCAACUGGGCUCAGGGAUAAUUGCAAAACUGGGGGAAAUUUUUAAAAUCCUUUUCAGGGAGUUACUCCUCUCGCAUAACAGUGAGUGUGUGA
rnacentral:lncRNA from 1 species